UAAUACUAUUAACUUACAAAAACCCUUUUGUUUCAAGAAAAGUUUUCAGUAUCAUAAUAAAAACUAAUAAAUUUAUAUAUAUAUCAAUAUAAUUAAUAUAUGCUUAUUAAUGCUGACAUAUCACUGUAUUUCGCUCUAUAAGGUUUCAAAAUUUUGAAGACUCUUUCAAAUAUCAAAUUCAGUGAUCGCAUUCCAUUUUGUAAAAAUAGCAUCAAUAAAAUCCACACCUCACAGCCUUAUUAGCAUAAUCGGAACCUUUCUGGUUUUUAUAUUCACGAAAGAAUGAAAAAACCCGAGAAAGUCAAAACUUCGUAUAUCUCGGGAUUUUAACGAGACCAGUCUCAUACUCGUGAAAAUCGAGAGAGGAGUUUAAAUGGAAAAAGUAAGUAAAAGUUUUUGUUUCUUAUAUUGGCAAGCUUUUAAAUUAUUUAAAGUUGCAGAAGAAUUGUUUAUUAAUGUGAAGUCGAAGUUUGGGGUGAUUAGCCUUAUCUCGUUAAAUUUUGUUCAGCAUGAAACAGUCUGAACAGCAAUCCUCGAUUUUGUCAACAAUCUAAAACGUGCUAAGGAGUAGUCAUUCGUCGAUUUACCUGCGGCUUCCAGAUGAUCUGAAGAUCGGGAAUAUAGAAAAUAUUGUCAAUUUGAUAUUGCUAAUGACCCAGUCAUGUCUGCUGAAGCCCAGAAGUUUCCAGACCAUGACAUUAAUGAAUAUUUCUUGAAUGGAAUGUAUGAGGAUUAGAAUGGAACCUUAUUCUGCCUUUUUACCAACUCACACCAUCUUUUCAAGAUUUAUGGAGCCAACCACAGAAGAAUUUGUUCUAUACACAUCAUUCAUAACAUUCUUAUUUAUGUUGCAUAACUUUAAAUGUUACUGGAUGAAUUGUGUUCACAUAAUGAAUACCAGCAAACUUUUUAUUGAGUGCACUUAAUUUGUAUUUUUCCUACCCAUCCAUCUAACAUAUGUUUUUAUAUAACAUAUUCAUAUACAUGUAACAUUUUUGGAAACAGCUAUUUUUUUUAAAUUGGAAUUUAGCCGUACUAUUUUAUACAAGUUUUUUUUAUAGGGACUUGGACACGAUUUUAGAUCAAAAUUUUGAUUUCAAUUUCUUUAUGCAUAAAAUGAUAUACUUGCACAUUUUGAAUAAUUGACCAUAAUUUGAAUGUUAGAAGUCAAGUUAUAAAAGAGAUACAGGGGUAAGAAUUUAUUGUUAUGUAAACAAAGCUCGAGUCUUAUGUUUGUUUAAAAAUAAUAUAAAGUAUGAAAAUAACACUUCUUUGAGAAAAUGAUUCAUAGAAAAGAAGGUAAACUGAUUCGAUGUGAUCAUAAAUAAUAUUAUUAAUAAAAAAAAGCAACAUUUGAAUGAAACUUACACCAAUAAAACACAUUCUUUUCAUUGUUUAAAUGGUAUGGAGUUUUAAUUACCUUUCAUAUGAAAAAUGACAUCUAAAUCUUAAAUUGCUGUACAUUAUAUCCUAUUCAUCUAAUGUAUCACUUUAUUUAUGUUGAACUUCGUGUCUAUUAGUAUAAUGAUUUUUUUAGAAUGAUAUAUGCAAUUUCAUUAAUUUAUUUUUCAUUUUAAGAAAAUUCAUUUUAAAAAAGAUCUCUAGACUUGCAACCUGUGUAUUUUUUUUUCAGUUUACAUAACACAGUGUAUUAAUUGAAUGUAGUUGUGUAGAUUUAUGUACAUGUACCUACAAGCAAUAUACAUUUAAUAUUCACCAGGUACAUGUACCGCCUACUAUAUUUGAUGAAUAAAUGUACUUCUUUCAUGCCUUUUUCAUGCCUUUUACUCAUUGUUAUAUGUAUUAAUUUAUUUAUAAUUAAAAUACUUUGAAAACUUU